rnacentral:rRNA from 1 species
UACGUAGGUGGCGAGCGUUGUCCGGAUUUACUGGGCGUAAAGAGCGCGCAGGCGGUCGUACAAGUCGCGUGUGAAAGCCCCCGGCUCAACUGGGGAGGGUCACGCGAUACUGUUCGACUCGAAGGCAGGAGAGGGUAGUGGAAUUCCCGGUGUAGUGGUGAAAUGCGUAGAUAUCGGGAGGAACACCUGCGGCGAAGGCGGGUUGCUGGGCCGACACUGACGCUGAGGCGCGAAAGCCAGGGGAGCGAACGGG